AUGCUGCGCGACCCUGCCGGGAACGUCCGAAAGCUGGCGCAGUUCCUCGGGUGCCCGUUCACAUCGGCGGAGGAGGACGCCGGCGUGGUCGAAGCGGUGGUGGAGCUGUGCAGCCUGCAGAGGCUCAAGAACCUCGAGGUGAACAGGAACGGCGCGCCGGCGCUGGUCGUGCCCAACGACGCCUUCUUCCGGAAGGGUGUCGCAGGCGACUGGCGCAAGCACAUGACGCCGGAGAUGGCGGCGAGGCUGGACGCCAUCGUCGAGGACGCCCUGCGUGGCACGGGGUUUUCGUUUGCCCACUCCAGCCAGGCGGCGGAGCACCACGGGACCGGCGCCGGAGCACCAUAG
rnacentral:rRNA from 1 species